AGGUCACAUCAGAUGUAUUAGAUACUGGUAUGUAUAAAGACACAAUCAAUAUUGUUUUAUGUUUGGACUUGGUAAGUGUUUCAUGCUUUAAUUUAUACCUCUAUCAUUUAAGGUUAAAAUUUUCCUUUUUCUCUACAAACCCAUAUGUUUUGGAUAAAAAACAUAGGUAUAUAAAUUAAAAGAUGUGGAAUGAUUGCCACCAAAGACAAUACAUAUAGACGAACCUAAGACCAUAGACAAUACAUAUAGACUUUACCUAAGAACCAUAGACAUUACAUAGACUUUUCCUUAGAACCAUAGACAAUACAUACAGACUCUUCCUAAGAACCACAGACAAUACAUAUAGACUUAACCUAAGAACCACAGACAAUACAUAUAGACUGAACCUAAGAACCACAGACAAUACAUAUAGACUUAACCUAAGAACCACAGACAAUACAUAUAGACUGAACCUUAGAACCACAGACAAUACAUAAAGACUUAACCUAAGAACCACAGACAAUACAUAUAGACUGAACCUAAGAAACACAGACAAUACAUAUAGACUUAACCUAAGAACCAUAGACCAUACAUAUAGACUCUACCUAAGAACUAGAGACAAUACAUAUAGACUGAACCUAAGAACCACAGACAAUACAUAAAGACUUAACCUAAGAACCACAGACAAUACAUAUAGACUGAACCUUAGAACCACAGACAAUAUUUAUAGACUGAACCUUAGAACCACAGACAAUACAUAUAGACUUAACCUAAGAACCACAGACAAUACAUAUAGACUGAACCUAAGAACCACAGACAAUACAUAUAGACUGAACCUAAGAAACACAGACAAUACAUAUAGACUUAACCUAAGAACCACAGACAAUACAUAUAGACUGAACCUAAGAACCACAGACAAUACAUAUAGACUUGAACCUAAGAAACCACAGACAAACAUAUAGACUGAACCUAAGAACCACAGACAAUACAUAUAGACUUAACCUAAGAACCACAGACAAUACAUAUAGACUGAACCUAAGAACCAAAGACAAUACAUAUAGACUGAACCUAAGAACCAAAGACAAUACAUAAAGACUGAACCUAAGAACCACAGACAAUACAUAUAGACUGAACCUAAGAACAAGACAAUACUAUAGACUGAACCUAAGAACACAGACAAUACAUAUAGACUGAACCUAAGAUCCAUAGACAAUACAUAUAGACUGUACCUAAGAACCAUAGACAAUACAUAUAGACUGUACCUAAGAACCACAUACAAUACAUAUAGACUGUACCUAAGAACCACAGACAAUACAUAUAUACUGAACCUAAGAACCACAGACAAUACAUAUAGACUGAACCUAAGAACCACAGACAAUACAUAUAGACUGAACCUAAGAACCACAGACACUACAUAUAGACUUAACCUAAGAACCACAGACAAUACAUAUAUACUGAACCUAAGAAACACAGACAAUACAUAUAGACUUAACCUAAGAACCAUAGACCAUACAUAUAGACUCUACCUAAGAACUAGAGACAUACAUAGACUGAACCUAAGAACAGACAAUACAUAUGACUGAACCUAAGAACCACAGACAAUACAUAUAGACUGAACCUAAGAACCACAGACAAUCAUAUAGACUGAACCUAAGAACCACAGACAAUACAUAUAGACUGAACCUAAGAACAACAGACAAUACAUAUAGACUGAACCUAAGAAACACAGACAAUACAUAUAGACUUAACCUAAGAACCAUAGACCAUACAUAUAGACUCUACCUAAAAACCAGAGACAAUACAUAUAGAGUAAACCUAAGAACCAUAGACAAUACUCUUAGACUAAACCUAAGAACCAUAGACAAUCCACAUUAAUUAAAUUUUACCCUUCCGGAGCACCUGAGAUCACCCCUAGUUUUUGGUGGGGUUCGUGUUGUUUAUUCUUUAGUUUUCUAUGUUGUGUCAUGUGUACUAUUGUUUUUCUGUUUGUCUUUUUCAUUUUUAGCCAUGGCGUUGUCAGUUUGUUUUAGAUUUAUGAGUUUGACUGUCCCUUUGGUAUCUUUCGUCCCUCUUUUAAACCUUAGAACCAAAGACUAUACAUAUAGACUCUUCCUUAGAACCACAUACAAUGCAUAUAGACUGAACCUUAGAACCACAGACAAUACAUAUAGACUCUUCCUAAGAACCACAGACAAUACAUAUAGACUGAACCUAAGAACCACAGACUACAUAUAGACUUAACCUAAGAACCACAGACAAUACAUAUAUACUGAACCUAAGAAACACAGACAAUACAUAUAGACUUAACCUAAGAACCAUAGACCAUACAUAUAGACUCUACCUAAGAACUAGAGACAAUACAUAUAGACUGAACCUAAGAACCACAGACAAUACAUAUAGACUGAACCUAAGAACCACAGACAAUACAUAUAGACUGAACCUAAGAACCACAGACAAUACAUAUAGACUGAACCUAAGAACCACAGACAAUACAUAUAGAUUGAACCUAAGAACAACAGACAAUACAUAUAGACUGAACCUAAGAAACACAGACAAUACAUAUAGACUUAACCUAAGAACCAUAGACCAUACAUAUAGACUCUACCUAAAAACCAGAGACAAUACAUAUAGAGUAAACCUAAGAACCAUAGACAAUACUCUUAGACUAAACCUAAGAACCAUAGACAAUCCACAUUAAUUAAAUUUUACCCUUCCGGAGCACCUGAGAUCACCCCUAGUUUUUGGUGGGGUUCGUGUUGUUUAUUCUUUAGUUUUCUAUGUUGUGUCAUGUGUACUAUUGUUUUUUCUGUUUGUCUUUUUCAUUUUUAGCCAUGGCGUUGUCAGUUUGUUUUAGAUUUAUGAGUUUGACUGUCCCUUUGGUAUCUUUCGUCCCUCUUUUAAACCUUAGAACCAAAGACUAUACAUAUAGACUCUUCCUUAGAACCACAUACAAUGCAUAUAGACUGAACCUUAGAACCACAGACAAUACAUAUAGACUCUUCCUAAGAACCACAGACAAUACAUAUGGACUGAACCUUAGAACCACAGACAAUACAUAGACUCUACCUAAGAAGCAUAGACAAUACAAGUAAAUCACAUAUUUAAACUUUUUAAGUAAUUAUGUAUGAAAACUUUUGUUGAACCACAAAAUUUAAUAUCCAUGUAAAUAUAAUGUUUCCAUUACCAAUAAUAUUUGUUACAUUGAUUUCAUUAUUUUUCUGUUUUCAGAUUUCCAAGUGACUUGGUUCAUUCAUUCUCAGUUAACAAAUUCACAUUUUAAAGGAUUUGGACACACUCUGUAAGGUCACAUCAGAUGUAUUAGAUACUGGUAUGUAUAAAGACACAAUCAAUAUUGUUUUAUGUUUGGACUUGGUAAGUGUUUCAUGCUUUAAUUUAUACCUCUAUCAUUUAAGGUUAAAAUUUUCCUUUUUCUCUACAAACCCAUAUGUUUUGGAUAAAAAAACAUAGGUAUAUAAAUUAAAAGAUGUGGAAUGAUUGCCACCAAAGACAAUACAUAUAGACUGAACCUAAGAACCAUAGACAAUACAUAUAGACUUUACCUAAGAACCAUAGACAUUACCUAUAGACUUUACCUAAGAACCAUAGACAAUACUCAAUAACGCCUAUAUCUAAGAACCAUAGACAAGACAUAUAGCCUAUAUCUAAGAACCAUAGACAAGACAUAUAGCCUAUAUAUAAGAACCAUAUACAAUACAUAUAGCCUAUAUCAAAGAAUUAUAGACAAUACAUAUAGCCUAUAUCUAAGAACCAUAGACAUUACAUACAAACUCAACAUAAGAACCAUAGACAAUACAUAAAGACUUUAUCUAAGAACCAAAGACGAUACAUAGACUUUUCCUUAGAACCAUAGACAAUACAUACAGACUCUUCCUAAUAACAAUAGAUAAUACAUAUAUCCUUUAUCUUAGAACCAUAGACAAUACAUAUAGACUAUACAUAAGAACCAUAGACAAUGCAUAUAGCCUCUACAUAAUAACCAAAGACAAUACACAUAGACUGAACCUAAGAACCAUAGAUAAUACACAUAGACUGAACCUAAGAAUCAUAGACAAUUCAUUUAGACUUUUCUAAGAACCAUAGACAAUACAUAUAGCCUAUAUAUCUAAGAACCAUAGACAAUACAUAUAGCCUAUAUAUCUAAGAACCAUAGACAAUACAUAUAGCCUAUAUAUCUAAGAACCAUAGACAAUACAUAUAGCCUAUAUCUAAGAACCUUUUUAUGGUUUGUGUGAAAACGUUUGUAAAACCACAAAAUCAAAUAUCCAUGUCAAUACAAUUUUUACCAUUUCCUAUAAUAUUUGUUAUAUUGAAUUCAAUUAUUUUCUGUCUUUAGAUUUCCAGAUGACUUGUUACAUUCAUUCUCAGUUAACAAAUUCACAGUGUAAAGGAUUUCGACACAUUCUGUAAGGUCACACCAGAUGCUCUAGAUACUGGUAUGUAUAUAGACAAUAUCAAUGCAUGUGUUCCAUGUGUUAAUUUAGACUACCAUAAGUUAAAAUUAAAAUUUUCCUUUUUCUCUAUAUACCCAUAGGUUGUUGGACCGGAAACAUAGAUAUCAAAAUAAAAAGAUUUGGUAUGAUUGACACCAGAGACUAAGUGACAUUAAAGGU
rnacentral:lncRNA from 1 species